GUGCUUGCUUCGGCUACACAUAUACUAACAUUGAAACAAUAAAGAGAUUAGUGUGGCCCUUCACCAAGGAUGACACUCAAAGUCAUUAAGUGUUCCAUGUUUCU
ensembl:snRNA U6 U6 spliceosomal RNA